rnacentral:rRNA from 1 species
CGGCGGAACACGUGAAAUUCCGUCGGAAUCCGGGAGGACCAUCUCCCAAGGCUAAAUACUCCCUAGUGACCGAUAGUGAACCAGUACCGUGAGGGAAAGGUGAAAAGCACCCCGGAAGGGGAGUGAAACAGUUCCUGAAACCGUGUGCCUACAAGUAGUUAGAGCCCGUUAAUGGGUGAUAGCGUGCCUUUUGUAGAAUGAACCGGCGAGUUACGAUUUGUUGCAAGGUUAAGCGGAAAAAGCGGAGCCGUAGCGAAAGCGAGUCUGAAUAGGGCGCAUAAGUAACAGGUCGUAGACCCGAAACCAGGUGAUCUACCCAUGUCCAGGAUGAAGGUAAGGUAAUACUUACUGGAGGUCCGAACCCACGCACGUUGAAAAGUGCGGGGAUGAGGUGUGGGUAGCGGAGAAAUUCCAAUCGAACUUGGAGAUAGCUGGUUCUCUCCGAAAUAGCUUUAGGGCUAGCCUCGAGGUAAAGAGUCAUGGAGGUAGAGCACUGUUUGGACUAGGGGCCCUUCUCGGGUUACCGAAUUCAGAUAAACUCCGAAUGCCAUGUACUUAUACUCGGGAGUCAGACUGCGAGUGAUAAGAUCCGUAGUCGAAAGGGAAACAGCCCAGACCACCAGUUAAGGUCCCCAAAUAUAUGUUAAGUGGAAAAGGAUGUGGGGUUGCUUAGACAACCAGGAUGUUGGCUUAGAAGCAGCCACCAUUGAAAGAGUGCGUAAUAGCUCACUGGUCGAGUGACCCCGCGCCGAAAAUGUACCGGGGCUAAACAUAUUACCGAAACUGUGGAUGAACCUCUUUAGAGGUUCGUGGUAGGAGAGCGUUCUAAGGGCGGUGAAGUCAGACCGGAAGGACUGGUGGAGCGCUUAGAAGUGAGAAUGCCGGUAUGAGUAGCGAAAGAAGGGUGAGAAUCCCUUCCACCGAAUAUCUAAGGUUUCCUGAGGAAGGCUCGUCCGCUCAGGGUUAGUCGGGACCUAAGCCGAGGCCGAUAGGCGUAGGCGAUGGACAACAGGUAGAGAUUCCUGUACCAGUGCUAAUUGUUUAACCGAUGGGGUGACACAGAAGGAUAGGGAAUCGCACGAAUGGAAAUGUGCGUCCAAGCAGUGAGUGUGAGAAGUAGGCAAAUCCGCUUCUCGCGAAGCAUGAGCUGUGAUGGGGAAGGAAAUUAAGUACGGAAGUUCCUGAUUUCACGCUGUCAAGAAAAGCCUCUAGGAAGAGUAGUACUGCCCGUACCGCAAACCGACACAGGUAGAUGAGGAGAGAAUCCUAAGGUGAGCGAGAGAACUCUCGUUAAGGAACUCGGCAAAAUGACCCCGUAACUUCGGGAGAAGGGGUGCUCUAUUAGGGUGCAAGCCCGAGAGAGCCGCAGUGAA